rnacentral:rRNA from 1 species
UACAGAGGGGGCAAGCGUUAUUCGGAAUUAUUGGGCGUAAAGGGCGCGUAGGCGGCUUGGCAAGUGGAAGGUGAAAUCCCUCGGCUUAACCGAGGAACUGCCCUCCAAACUGCUUGGCUUGAGACCGGGAGAGGUGAGUGGAAUUCCCAGUGUAGCGGUGAAAUGCGUAGAUAUUGGGAGGAACACCAGUGGCGAAGGCGGCUCACUGGACCGGUACUGACGCUGAGGCGCGAAAGCGAUGGGGAGCAAACGGGGAUUAAGAA